UGCGCUGGCUGGACCAUCGCGUCGCCCGUCUCCUGUAAGGCGCGGCGGCGAGGAAAGUCCGAACACCACAGGGCACCCCGCCUCCUAACAGGAGGGCACCGUUCGGGUAACCGGGCGGUGACGGAAAGUGCCACAGAGAGCAGACCGGCCGAUGGUCUCGCUUCGGCGAGACACAGGCAAAGGGUGAAAGGGUGGGGUAAGAGCCCACCAGCGUCGCUGGUAACAGCGGCGGCUGGCAAACCCCGGGGGGUGCAAGGCCAAGCAGCGCCGCACCGCCGUAAGGGCGGAUAAGGUGGCCCGCUGAAAGCGUCGCCUUCGGGCGAUGCGGCGGCGCGGGUAGGCCGCUUGAGGCUGCCGGUGACGGCAGUCCCAGAUAAAUGAUGGUCUCCCCGGAAGUGGCACGGCGGCCGUCGCUCCGGGCAGACAGAAUUCGGCUUACAGGCCAGCGCACGCC
rnacentral:RNase_P_RNA from 1 species